rnacentral:rRNA from 1 species
UACAGAGGUCUCAAGCGUUGUUCGGAUUCAUUGGGCGUAAAGGGUGCGUAGGUGGCGCUGUAAGUCGGGUGUGAAAUUUCGGAGCUUAACUCCGAAACUGCAUUCGAUACUGCGGUGCUUGAGGACUGGAGAGGAGACUGGAAUUCAUGGUGUAGCGGUGAAAUGCGUAGAGAUCAUGAGGAAGACCAGUGGCGAAGGCGGGUCUCUGGACAGUUCCUGACACUGAGGCACGAAGGCCAGGGGAGCAAACGGG